GGAGUACCCGAAGUCGGGUUGCCAACCCUUCGGGGAGGCACCUGCCGACGGUAAGCCCGAUGACUGGCACUAAGUCGUAACAAGGUAGCCGUAGGGGAACCUGCGGCUGGAUCACCUCCUUU
rnacentral:rRNA from 1 species